rnacentral:rRNA from 1 species
GGGCGCAAGCGUUGUCCGGAAUUAUUGGGCGUAAAGAGCUCGUAGGCGGCUUGUCACGUCGGGUGUGAAAGCCCGGGGCUUAACCCCGGGUCUGCAUUCGAUACGGGCUAGCUAGAGUGUGGUAGGGGAGAUCGGAAUUCCUGGUGUAGCGGUGAAAUGCGCAGAUAUCAGGAGGAACACCGGUGGCGAAGGCGGAUCUCUGGGCCAUUACUGACGCUGAGGAGCGAAAGCGUGGGGAGCGAACAGG